UUUUUUUUGUCUUUUUGCUAUUUCUUGGGCCGCUCCUGCGGCAUAUGGAGGUUACCAGGCUAGGGGUCGAAUCGGAGCUGUAGCCACAGGCCUAUGCCAGAGCCACAGCAACGCUGGAUCCGAGCCGCAUCUGCGACCUACACCACAGCUCACAGCAACACCGGAUCGUUAACCCACUGAGCAAGGGCAGGGACCGAACCCACAACCUCAUGGUUCCUAGUCGGAUUUGUUAACCACUGUGCCACGACGGUAACUCCCACAUUUUUUUAAAUUAAAAUAUAAUUAAUAUAUGAACUUGUGUAGGUUUAAGGGGUAUAUGUUGAUUUGAUAUACAUAUACAUUUGUAUACUGCAACAUGAUCACCUCAACCCUUGUAGCAUUGGUUAAAAACCUCAGUUUUUAACUAAUUAUCAUUUCUUUUUUUGUGGUUGGGAGCCAUUAAGAUCUAGCCUCUUACCAACUCUGAAGUUUGUGAUACAGUAUUGUUGACUAUAAUUGAUAUGCUGUGCAUUAGACCUCCAGGACAUCUACUAUCCCUGUGUAUACCCUUAAACAAUGUGAUUUUUUUAUCUGAGGCAUUCAAGAAAAUUUCUUGGCAGUUUUGGAAAAUAGCCUGUAGUUCUAUUUUCAGCCAAUAGGUGGCAAGGCUAACAAGAAAUGGUGGACAAUUGCCAACAAGAGGGGCCAGGAGGACCACCCUGAGAAAAGGUUUAACUCCCAGUCUUGUCUGCAUCCAGUUGCCUCCUCACAGGGACAUAUGAUAUCCUCUCAUCUUGUGCUGUUUUCCAAUCAUCCUUAUGCUUUCUGCAAAGUUAUUGUUUGCUUACAUGUUUACUGUGUCUUGCUCAUUGAAGACCCAAGUUCCAGGAGAUGUGAGACUGUUGUGUUCACUGCUGCAUUCCCCCCCAGGUUUAAAACAGAGCUGNCAAACAACAGGUGCCUAAGGAGUGUUUGUUGAAUGAAUCCAUGAUUGGAGUGAAUGAAUGACUUCUGAUCCAUGUGAACAGGUUGCUUCUCCUUCUCUGACUUUGCUGUUUCCAAAUGGCAUCGUGCCUCAGGGUGAAUGAUGAUUUGCACUUAACAUGGUGUCCGGGACAUUAGAAAACUGCUGAAACCUGUGGUUUGGUUUAUGUCUUUGAAAUAUCUGAACCCUGAAGAGCAGUAAGCAAGAAGUCCUCUGGGUCUAACUAGCCUGGUUCGGGUUUAAAAUUUAAGAUGGCAUGCAUAAAUCUACCUGGAGGCUUCUCCAGUCAUCCCUGAAAUGCGUCCAUUCCUGCCCAGCUCCAGGAACGACAAAUGGCUUGUACAGGAGGGAAGCUGUGAAUCCCCGUGCACAGAGGUUGCUUGAGAUAAAUUACCUGUUUGCAAUGACUCAAAGUGUCUGGGGAUUUUGUGGGGCUGGCAGGGAGCACUGGUGAUGCCACAUCCUGGAAAUGAACAUGCCCUGGGUAGAGGGAUGGAGUUGAGUUCACACAGCAGGGCUGGGGUUAAGGGUGAGGAGAGUCAGGCUGAGUCUUGCAACAGCAAGGGGCUCAUGGUCCCUCCCUCCAACUUUAAAGUGAACAACUGAAUCACUCUGCCUCUGCUUCAUUCUCGGUUGUUCUUUUCUUAGGGCUGCACCUAUGGCAUAUGGAAGUUCCCAGGGUAGGGGCUAACUUGGAGCUGCAGCUGCCAGACAAUACCACAGCCAGAGCAAUACCAGAUUCGAGCUGUGUCUGUGACCUACACCACAGCUCACAGCAACACCAGAUCCUUAAUCCAGUGAGUGAGGCCAGGAAUCGAAUCUGCAUCCUCAUGGAUACUAAUCGGGUUCUUAACCUGCUGAGCCACAAGAGGAACUCUGUCCUCAAUUCUUCUGACUCUGAAUCUCCAUAUAUAAGGACCCUUGUAAUUCCAAAAUCUCCCUCCAUCAUCCAAGAUAUUCUAUCUCAAGAUCCUUAAUCACAUCUUCAUUUUUGUUUUGUUUUUUUGAUUGACAAUAUUGUGCCAAUAUCUGCUGUUCAGCAAAGUGACCCAGUCAUACAUUGAUAUACAUUCUCUUUAUAUUAUCUUUCAUCAUGUUCUAUCCCAAGAGACUGGAUAUAGUUCCCUGUGCUGUACAGCAGGACCUCAUUGCUUAUCCAUUCUAAAUGGAAUAGUUUGCAUCUACCAACCCCAAACUCCCAGGCCAGCCCACUCUUUGCCCACCUGCUGUUUUUGUUUUUGUUUUUGCCUUUGUGGGUUUUUUUUGUUUGUUUGUUUGUUUUUGGCUGUGUCCAUUCCAUGUGAAAGUUCACAGGCCAGGAAUUGAACCCAAGCCACAGCAGUGACAACACCAGAACCUUAACUGACUGCCACCAGGGAACUUCCCAUCUUCAUCCUUGGCCACGUGAGGGAACAUAUUCAUAGGUUACAGGGAUCUGAACGUGACAUCUCUAGGGACAAAUGGUACUCAGCUUCACACAAGGCUGAGCCGAAUUUUAACCUGCAGUGAAUAGAGGAUGGAGAAAAAAACUCAUGGUCCAGGCCGGCUCCCACGAAAUAGCUUUGUUGAAGAGGCCACCUUAAGUGCAGGACCCUGAGCCCCAUUUCUAAGUCCAGGGCCCAACCUUGACCCCUCUGUUCCAAUCACUGGAUGGCCGCUCACUUGUUCAUUUAAAUGAGGGGGCCUUGGAGUUCCCAUUGUGGCUCAGCAGUAAUGAAUGCAACUAGUAUCUGUGAGGGCAAGGGUUCGAUCCCUGGCCUCACUCAAUGGGUUAAGGAACCGGUGCUGCCAUGAGCUGUGGUGUAGGUCGUAGAGGCAGCUCAGAUCUAGCAUUGCUGUGACUGUGGUGUAGGCUGGCAGCUGCAGCUCUGAUUUGCCCCCUAGCCUGGGAACUUCCUUAUGUUGUGGGUUCGGCCCUAAAAAGACAAAAAAAUGAGGGAGGCCUUGUGGGUGACACAUUCUUCCAGACCCAAGGCAGAUAGCACCAUCCAUCUGGGAAUGCCCUGGAAGAGACCAAGGUGAGCCUGCCCAGACCAGGAAGGCCAGCCCGGUUUGAGGCCAAAACAAGGGUAGCUCCCAGGGUGUGGUGGCUUCACGGUCACUAACACACUGGCAACCACACCUGCAAAGAGCAUGAAGAGAUCAAAGACUUAAGUCUGACAUGCAGCCACGCUGACUUCGUCAUUCCUUUGGGAAGCAUCCGUGGGCUUUGAUGGUUUCUGUGGCCUGGGCAUGGGUGUCUGCCAGGUUUGGGGAGCUGUCCUUUGCAGUUUGGAGCAGGAGAAAAGCCUUAUUAACGCUCAAGGGUCUUACUGAUAAAGUUGUAAGAUAGCUAGAGUGUACACUGUGAUGAUCUGGUACACCUCAAUGAAACGCAACAAUCAAAAACUCAAGGAGUUC
ensembl:lncRNA